GAAACUCUAUAGAAACUAGACAGUAAGACGAACAACUCAACACGUCGAUGCAACCGAUAAUUCAACUAUGCAAGCACUAAAAAGGAAAUUACAAAGGCUUAGCCUCGCUUGCACAAAGAAUACAGAUCUAACUUUUUUGUGCCUUUUCUUCGAAAUAGGUAAGAAAAAUAAAUCUAAUCUAGGGAUAAAUGGAAAUUCUCAACGAGCAACAUGAAAACUGAUAUCACUUGAUAGGGGCGAGGGUCCCAAUCUUUCGAUGAGAUGAUAACUAUCAAUUUGAUGGAGACAACUUUGAUGAUCUGACUACAAACGUGCACGAGUUGCGCCUUAGCAAUCGCUAUU
rnacentral:lncRNA from 1 species